ACUUUCAUAGGAUAGAAGCAAUCCACUGGUCUUAGGAACCAAAAAACUGGUGCAACUCCAGAUGAAAGUA
rnacentral:tRNA from 1 species